UGAGUAACACGUAUGCAACCUGCCUGCCACAGCCGGAUAAUCGGGAGAAAUUCCGUCUAAUACGGCAUAAUGCAUCGACGGGACAUCCUGUUGGUGCCAAAGGUUAAUUCCGGUGGCGGAUGGGCAUGCGUCGCAUUAGUUAGUUGGCGGUGUAACGGACCACCAAGACGACGAUGCGUAGGGGUUCUGAGAGGAAGGCCCCCCACACUGGGACUGAGACACGGCCCAGACGCCUACGGGAGGCAGCAG
rnacentral:rRNA from 1 species